rnacentral:rRNA from 1 species
AACGAACGCUGGCGGCAGGCCUAACACAUGCAAGUCGAGCGGAUCCUUCGGGGUUAGCGGCGGACGGGUGAGUAACGCGUGGGAAUAUGCCCUUCUCUACGGAAUAGCCUCGGGAAACUGGGAGUAAUACCGUAUACGCCCUACGGGGGAAAGAUUUAUCGGAGAAGGAUUAGCCCGCGUUGGAUUAGGUAGUUGGUGGGGUAAUGGCCUACCAAGCCUACGAUCCAUAGCUGGUUUGAGAGGAUGAUCAACCACACUGGGACUGAGACACGGCCCAGACUCCUACGGGAGGCAGCAGUGGGGAAUCUUAGACAAUGGGGGAAACCCUGAUCUAGCCAUGCCGCGUGAGUGAUGAAGGCCUUAGGGUUGUAAAGCUCUUUCAGCUGGGAAGAUAAUGACGGUACCAGCAGAAGAAGCCCCGGCUAACUCCGUGCCAGCAGCCGCGGUAACAC